rnacentral:rRNA from 1 species
UGGGGAAUAUUGGACAAUGGGGGCAACCCUGAUCCAGCCAUGCCGCGUGAGUGAUGAAGGCCUUCGGGUUGUAAAGCUCUUUUGGCGGGGACGAUGAUGACGGUACCCGCAGAAUGAGCCCCGGCUAACUUCGUGCCAGCAGCCGCGGUAAGACGAAGGGGGCUAGCGUUGUUCGGAAUUACUGGGCGUAAAGCGAGUGUAGGCGGUUGCCGUAGUCAGGUGUGAAAGCCUUGAGCUCAACUCAAGAAAUGCACUUGAUACUGGGUGACUAGAGGACCGGAGAGGAUAGUGGAAUUCCCAGUGUAGUGGUGAAAUACGUAGAGAUUGGGAAGAACACCAGUGGCGAAGGCGGCUAUCUGGACGGUUACUGACGCUAAAGACUCGAAAAGCGUGGGGAGCAAAACAGGAUUAGAUACCCUGGUAGUCCACGCCGUAAAACGAUGGGUGCUAGACGUUGGCGAGCUUGCUCGUCAGUGUCGCAGCUAACGCGUUAAGCACCCCGCCUGGGGAGUAACGGCCGCAAAGGUUGAAAACUCAAAAUGAAAUUGACGGGGGUCAUAGCUGUUUUUCCU